rnacentral:rRNA from 1 species
AGAAUCAACGCUGGCGGCGUGCCUAACACAUGCAAGUCGCACGAGAAAGGGGAGCAAUCCCUGAGUAAAGUGGCGCACGGGUGAGUAACACGUGAAUCAUCUACCUCCGAGUGGGGAAUAACUGAGAGAAAUCUUAGCUAAUACCGCAUAACACUUACGAGUCAAAGCAGCAAUGCGCUUGGAGAGGAGUUCGCGGCAGAUUAGUUAGUUGGCGGGGUAAUAGCCCACCAAGACGAUGAUCUGUAUCCGGCCUGAGAGGGCGCACGGACACACUGGAACUGAAACACGGUCCAGACUCCUACGGGAGGCAGCAGUGGGGAAUUUUGCGCAAUGGGGGAAACCCUGACGCAGCAACGCCGCGUGGAGGAUGAAGCCCCUUGGGGUGUAAACUCCUUUCGAUCGGGAAGAUAAUGACGGUACCGAUAUAAGAAGCCCCGGCUAACUUCGUGCCAGCAGCCGC